UAUCCUAAAAUUGCCAUAAGUGAACAACUUUUUUUUCUUUCAAAGGAGACAAAGUUGACACAAAUAAACUUAAAAGUGUUUUAGGAAACUUGGGGAUUGAGCUCAUGCCUAAUGAACACUCGAACUUGCUGAAAACAUUGCCAGUUAAUGCUGAAAAGAAAGUCAAACUAAAUAAGUUGAUUAAAGAAUUGAGUGCUGUUUUAGGAAAACAGGUAGAUGUCUGUGACCUAGAAGAUGCACUAAAAGACAUGGAAAUAGAGGUCCCAUAUGAGGACUACUUGCACUUAGUAAAAACUUUGCCGCUUGAUGGUAAGAAUUUAAAAUCUAUGUAUCCUUCAAAGGGCUUCAGAGUGCUUUUAAGAUUGUGAGCUUUUCUUCUAAAAUGAUACAAGAUUGUUACCAGGGUUUUUUUUAAGUCAAAGUAUGGUAAGAAAGCAGAUAAAUCUG
rnacentral:lncRNA from 1 species